CACACACACACACACACCUCUCUCUCUCUCUCUCUCUCUCUCUCUCUCUCUCUCUCUCUCUCUCUCUCUCUCUCUCUCUCUCUCUCUCUCUCUCUCUCUCUCUGUCAGCGUCCGUGGGUGUUGCUGUAGGGUAACGUGUAUGUGCGUCACGUCAUUAUUGCUCUGUAAUCAUAAGUGAUAAAUGUUCAAUAGUGUUCUAGUUGCAGGAAGACACUUGUAAUAUGCCUAAGUAUCGGUACUCAGUGCUGCAUGAAGCCCCAAGCCGAUGCUCUCUUGUUAGCAGUGUGGUUAACCCGCUCGUCGCCUGCAAGCGUCACUCAAGGUCAAGUCGCGCUCAAAGACGGGCAGGAAGGUGACGCAGAGCAGCAGAGACAAGCAGACGCAGCAGCAGCAGAGAGGGCCUGCCUCACCACAGAGGGGUGGAGGUGGACGGAACAACUUAAAUUAGGUGGAGCUUGAGAACGUACCGCAGUGUAUCGAUCCAUUAUGUUAUUAAAGGAGGAGUGAGCUGCUUACUGCACGACUCACGCGUGGCACGACAGGCUUGUGUGGUAUACGAAAA